GACGAACGCUGGCGGCGUGCUUAACACAUGCAAGUCGAGCGGUAAGGCCCCUUCGGGGGUACACUAGCGGCGAACGGGUGAGUAACACGUGUGCAAUCUUCCCAUCACAUCGGGAUAACUCCGGGAAACCGAAGCUAAUACCGAAUACGACCACCUCCGGCAUCGGGUGGGGGUGGCAAGUUCCGGCGGUGAUGGAUGAGCUCGCGGCCUAUCAGCUUGUUGUUGGGUUAACGGCCCACCAAGGCUUCGACGGGUAGCCGGCCUGAGAGGGUGACAGGCCACACUGGGACUGAGACACGGCCCAGACUCCUACGGGAGGCAGCAGUGGGGAAUAUUGGACAAUGGGCGAAAGCCUGAUCCAGCAACGCCGCGUGAGGGAUGACGGCCUUCGGGUUGUAAACCUCUUUCAGCAGGGACGAAGCGCAAGUGACGGUACCUGCAGAAGAAGCCCCGGCCAACUACGUG
rnacentral:rRNA from 1 species